rnacentral:ncRNA from 1 species
AAGAAUGCGUUGACGAGGAAGUCGGCGGGAAAAGCCUCACAGAGAGCCGUUGGAGGUGCGAAACGGCAGGUAAUACCGCAAAAGAUAAUCACCUCUGAGCAGACAGGCAGAAACAGCAGUAAGCCUGUACGGGUACUCCCGUUACAGAGUAGCAUAUUGACGGAUAUGUACAGAGCGGCUCGUUAUUCACGGGCAAUAAGAGUGGUAACACGGAGACUUCAAGCCUUCGCCUCUUGA